GAAAAAUGAUUAAAUUUAGAAGUACUUGAGUACUUCUAUAGGUAUUUUCUUUAAAAAAAAAAAUCAAUUUGCCUAGGAUUUCCUUGGGUGUAAAGCUCUGGUAGGAGAAAAAUGUUAAACGUGGAGAUCAACAGAUAUCAGGGUGAAAUUACUGGCUCUCUUGGCAAUGGAAAAGCAGUGGAUGACAUUUACCUUGACUUUAGCAAGCUUUCAGCAUGGUCUUCUGUAGCACCCUUUUUGUGAAGAUGGAGAUGUGUGGACAGGUGCGAGGAAUACAAGUUUAGAAGACUUCUCAGCUCCUUCAGAUCAGUGUAACUGAAAAUGGCUGCAACUGCACAUUUUGUCUACAGGGACAGUGCAGAGGAAUUCCUCCUCCACUUCCCCCCCCUCCCCCCCCCGGAAUUUUUGGCCUUCCUAAAACUGAGAAAAAUACUGGGGUAUAGAAGUCUAUCAGAGUACAUCAAGACAACAAUCACCUGUCCUGUUUAGUCUGUGAACAGUUAAGAUCCUAAACUUUGACUUAAUACUGUCAAAACUACCAAAGCAAGGAGAUUUUAAAUGUGAUGUGUAGCUGUUAAAGACAGCAAUGGACAACCACACUGAGUGUCUUUUCCAUUUCAAGAUUUCUAAGGUUUAUUAAGCUAGUGUCUUAAAUUGAAUCAUUUCUUUUUGUUUGGAAUGACCAUAAUAUAAUAGUCUAAGUUAUGGCCCCAGCUCAAGUAGUCUGUCUUGUCUUGUAAAGUGACUUGCAAAUCUAAUUAGUUCUGAAUGCAAAUUUCCGAUGAGAAUUACAUUGACCAACAAAAUCCUUUAAGCAGCUGUAGAAUACAGUUUUGCUUUUAUUAAGUCACUACAUGUGAUACUUAAGGAAAGGGUGGAAUUGCAGUGACACCAGGACUUCAGGCUAGAGUUUUCUAUUUCUUACUCUCUACCUAGAAGUCCUAACAGUUUGUGCAUAACCUCUGCACACACUUUGAGUUUCUUAAGCUUCAAUGUUGCUUUGGCUCUGUUUUUGCCCACAUCUUACCACAUAUUUCUCUUGGGUUAUUUCCCUUGCCUUUAUCCAUUAAGUAUUUUUGUGACCUGCUUGGUACUUCAGAAGUCCAUUGAAAUUUGAGUAAUAUGGAAGAGAACAGUGAUCAGAAAAAGGAAAAAAGCUAUUACAUUUUUCAAGGUACUAUAAGAAGUAUGCCCUGCUCUCCCAGUGUAAUAUAGAUAUAUUGAUCUGCUUGGAGUAGGUGACAUUUUUUAACAAACUCUACCAGAAUUAAUAGUACAGCCAGAAUCACAUUCUUAGGCAUACUUCUAGUGUAUCUGAUGAAGUCAAAUAACUGCAGGCAAGCUUUGAAAUUUACAAAAAAAACACCCUAUAUAGUAGUUUUACUACUAUAUAGAGUAGUAUAAUGUACAUUUGAGAUUAUAAAAUUUGGUAUAAAUUGGGAUUUUGUACAGAUAUGACUAUGAGAAGAACUUGUUCACAACUAUAUUUAAAACUUAAGUUUAGAGCA